AACGAACGCUGGCGGCAGGCUUAACACAUGCAAGUCGAGCGCCCCGCAAGGGGAGCGGCAGACGGGUGAGUAACACGUGGGGAUCUGCCCAAUGGUACGGAAUAGCUCCGGGAAACUGGAAAUAAUACCGUAUGUGCCCGCAAGGGGAAAAAUUUAUCGCCAUUGGAUGAACCCGCGUCGGAUUAGCUAGUUGGUGUGGUAAAAGCGCACCAAGGCGACGAUCCGUAGCUGGUCUGAGAGGAUGAUCAGCCACACUGGGACUGAGACACGGCCCAGACUCCUACGGGAGGCAGCAGUGGGGAAUAUUGGACAAUGGGCGCAAGCCUGAUCCAGCCAUGCCGCGUGAGUGAUGAAGGCCUUAGGGUUGUAAAGCUCUUUCGCCGACGAAGAUAAUGACGGUAGUCGGAGAAGAAGCCCCGGCUAACUUCGUGCCAGCAGCCGCGGUAAAAC
rnacentral:rRNA from 1 species